rnacentral:rRNA from 1 species
AUUGAACGCUGGCGGCAGGCCUAACACAUGCAAGUCGAGCGGAUGAAGGGUGCUUGCUCCUGGAUUCAGCGGCGGACGGGUGAGUAAUGCCUAGGAAUCUGCCUGGUAGUGGGGGAUAACGUCCGGAAACGGGCGCUAAUACCGCAUACGUCCUGAUGGUGAUAGUGGGGGGUCUUUGGACCUCACGCUAUCUGAUGAGCCUAGGUCGGAUUUGCUAGUUGGUGGGGUAAAGGCCUACCAAGGCGACGAUCCGUAACUGGUCUGAGAGGAUGAUGAGGCACACUGGAACUGAGACACGGUCCAGACGUCUACGAGAGGCAGCAGUCGGGAAUAUUGGACAGUGGGCGAAAAUCUGAUCCAGCCGUGGCGCGUUUGUGAAGGAGGUCCUCGGAUUGUGAAGCAGUUUUAGGUGGGAUGAAGGGCAGUAGGUUAUUACCUUGCUGUUUUGACGGUACCGAGAGAAUAAGCACCGGCUAACUUCGUG